GUGAAGAUGGUUGCUUUGUAUAGAUGACUUGGAAAGGGACAGUUUUAUUCUAAUAGACUUGGAACGGGUCUCAGUUCCUGACCCAUUGGAGCGAAAAAUGUUUCUAUCAGUCAUUUUCUGUAAGGGAAAAAAAUGUGACAGCUAACAUUAGACUAGGCCGGGUUGCUGGCUGGACCUGCGCUGCCCACACUGAUCCACUUGGGUUAGGAUGCCUACUACUAGGGUCAUAGAUCAUGUGCAUUGUUUCUCAGUGAUAAAGUUCACCAAUAACAGUGAAAAGGAAGGCAAGUGGCGUGAUGCAAGUGGUCUCACAAAAUCAAGCCAGAAGUCCACCAGCAGGCACCCUUGGAAGCUCCUGAAAUCAAUGACAGAAGGUCUUUGCAGGGCUCUGCUAGAGAAUGUGUAACAAAAGCAUCCUGGUAUUUAGGACCCCAUGAAGUUACGUUUGGCUUCUAGCAGGGGUUGUUUAUUAACACAGGAUCCUGAAGCCCUUUACUCUUGACAGUGACCAGAUUCUCCAAGAGACAUCUGCUGAAUGUAUGCCAAGGACCAACAAUACCUUUCCUAAUACGAAUAUGAAAGGAGACAACGAAUAAGCAAGGGCUCCUGGCAGUCUGGACCUUGCUGCACCACUGCAUACAUGGACAGAACAAAAAAAGGUAGGGGGGCAAGUGAUGUCAAAGAGGGACAAAUCAACACACUCCAGAUA